AAUGAACGUUGGCGGCAUGGAUUAGGCAUGCAAGUCGAGCGAGAAGUGUAGCAAUACACGGAAAGCGGCGGAAGGGAGAGUAAUACGUGGGAAUCUGCCCUUAGACCUGGGAUAGCAGCGGGAAACUGCUGGUAAUACCAGAUAAUGUCUAUGGACCAAAGGUGUGAUUCCGUCUAGGGAUGAGCCCACGUCCUAUUAGCUAGUUGGUAUGGUAAUGGCCUAUCAAGGCGAUGAUGGGUAGCGGGUGUGAGAGCAUGACCCGUCUUACUGGGGCUGAGACACUGCCCAGACACCUACGGGUGGCUGCAGUCGAGAAUCUUCGGCAAUGGGCGCAAGCCUGACCGAGCGAUGCCGCGUGCGGGAUGAAGGCCUUCGGGUUGUAAACCGCUGUCGAGGGGGAGCAACUUCCAUAGAGUUAUCUUUAUGGAUUGAGUGAUCCCUGGAGGAAGGACGGGCUAAGUUCGUGCCAGCCGCCGCGGUAACAC
rnacentral:rRNA from 1 species